CACGCCCAGUGACAGAAGUGGGCCAGGGACAGAAUCUUCAGAAACAUUAACAUUUAAGGAGUAGCUACAGCUAGCAGAUCCAACAAAGGAAACCAGGAAAGAAAAGCCAUAAGCAAAAGGAAACUAUAAGGGGAAAGUGUUAGCUCAGAAGUCACACAAAAUGAAAAUGGAAAUGGACAGUAAUGCCAAAUGGCACACAGACACUGAAAAGCAUUUACUAAAUUUGGCAUUUUGAAAAUCAUUAAAGUUAUUUUACUGGAAUGGUUCAAUAGAGUGAGCUACUUGGGCUAAGAGAUAUUGCUGUGGGGUGACUAGUGGGACAAAGCGAGAGCAAGUAGAGAUAGCGAGUGUAGGCUGCUGGGAGACACUUGCUAAAGAUAGAAGCAGAAUAGCAACUAUAAGGAGAUACUUGAUGAGGGGAAGUAUUUUCCUUUUCCUCAGUUUUUUUUUUUUUUUUUUUUUUUUUUAAGAGGGAUUUGUAUAUGGUCUAUGAGGAAGGUGAUAGUAGAAAGGAAGAGAAAGGACCCAACAGAGCCAUGUCCUGGAGGAGACAGCAAGGAAUCAGCUACAGAGCACAGGUUUCCCAGCCAGCCGCUUAUUGUGAAAAGCUGUUCUGAUGUUUGCAGCCCUCUCACACUCAAGAAUGACAAUAGUCAGGCUUUUGGAUACUGGAUGACAAGAUACAGCACCACAAUGCAAUGACCUCCUUUACUGUGGAAAAACUGGUGACAGAUCAGUAGAAGUUAGUGAACUCAGUAGAAGUUAGGAAGACACAAAAUAUUUGAUAGUUGCUAGCUUGUCUUUUUUUUUUUUUUUAACUUUUUCUUAAGCUGCAGGCAAAGUUUUAUUUUAAUUUCCGGAUGUUUUUUGAAAAGUUAAAUAAAUACGGAAGUGCUAUCAGGUAUCUGUGUUUCCAAUAUCCACAAUUAAUUAAUGUUAAUAUUUUGGCAUCAUUGCUUCAGAUAUACUUUAUAUAUGAAAGAAAUAAAAUAUUACUUAGUUGAAGUCUUUCUCAUUCUUAUUCCCUCUUUACUUCUCCCCAAAUAAACUUUCAUUAGCUUAGUUUAUAUCAUUCCAGUUUGUGUUUUCAUAUUUUUACUACAUACUUUAGAAACAUCUAAGAAAACAUAUAAUGUUAUAUUAUGUUUUUCAAUUUUAUAUGAAUGCUUUC
rnacentral:lncRNA from 1 species